rnacentral:lncRNA from 1 species
ACUGCCCUCUCCCGGAAUCCUGAUGGAAAGGGGACGGGUUUCCGCAGGGAAUGAGGGCGUGGCCACGCAUGCUCUCCCAAGAGGCCGCCUCGUGUGUGCACUGCCUGGCUUUUCGAAGUAACACGUGGGCUUUGAGACUUAGGCCUCAUAUCUCAAAAGUACUGAAUGACCCGGUCAUUCAGUCCUUAGACCUUCUGUCUCUGUCGGGUUUCAGCCCCAGUCUUGAGUGCCAGAGGCAAAGAAAUAAAAAUAAAGCCCUUAUUCCUGGGAGAAAAGCCACCUGCAGGAGUCCUGCACUGGAGACCUCUGUUUUGUGACAUCCCCUGGGCGGACAGUCCAGUCUGGGUGGUGUUAUGGAUCUUGACACUGCUUGAAAGCUGUACUUUGUUGCUGACAUAAGGGAAGGGUAACUUUCUGGGUGGCACUUAGGCCUGUUUCCGGUCUCUGAGCGACCUUCGGUUCUGAGUCGUGAUCAGAUCUCCAUUUAAUGAGCUCGAGCCUCCAAAGGGGAACCCAACAAAGGAUUGACGAGAACAUGAGGGAGGAGUUUGCCCUAACACUCCAGCAGCUGCAGAUAACCAGUACACGGUGAUCGAGACAUGUCCCAGUCCUUAGAAAGCCAGCAGUAACUAAUGAUGAAGUGCAAUGUCUUCCUGUAAGACCUUCUGCCUGAACUUCAUUGAAGAAUAAUGGCAUCUUCCUCUUCCUUCAUCCCUUAACACAGGAGCCCAUCGAGUGUCCACAUGCACAGAGGAGUCACUUGUCCGCUGACAGCCAUGGCUUUGCAGUAAACGCCAAGGCAUAGAUGCUUCCAUCCCGUAAGCAAGAGCGAGACCUGGAAAUAGCCAGAGACCUAGGUGUGAAGUACAGGCUGUUCUGUUGGUAACAGAAAGGCAUCUCUGCAUCUCCUUCUUAAUUAAUGUCCCUUCUUGUUAUAGAAAUAAAUCUUAUGCUUGUGUGAAACUCAUACUGUAGAGGAGUCCUCCUGCCCUUACUCUGGCUUUAACUCCUUCCCACACAAAGUAACCUACUUCAUUUGCAGUCCAGGAGAGAUCCUUCAGUUUUGCUGCAUUUCUCAAUUAAGUACAGUAUGCAUCAGGCAGCAGAUUUUCUGUACCAAUGAAGUUACACUUUGCACAUUGUUCUAGAAAACACAUCACACAAUGAGAUGGUUAUCUCAUUUGUCACUUGUCUGUGUCUUUAAACAAUUUAAAGUAAAACGCUUGUGGUUCAUCUUUACCUCUUACAAAUAAUCGAAAAUAAAAUGCUACACAUGGUGUCA